UAUACUUGUUUUAUUUAAGAAGGCAACUAGUUUGGCACAGUGUCAAUAGAACUACAAUAAUUUUCGUCUCAUUUUUAACGAAGCUAAAGUAUUAUAGAAAAAGUGAAAGUGCAAUCGGCUUGAUAAUUUUAAGACAGUACGAUCAUCUGAAUAAAUUAUAAAUAUACUUUCGCAAUGCUCCUUCUUACAAAAUGCAGCAUUAUUUUUUUAUUAAUAUUCGCGUAUACGCAAUUGGAUGACGUUACGAUGAAUCUAAGAGCAAACAAAGUCAUUCUGACAUCGAUUUCCAAGGUGUUGAGGGUAUUUGUGACAGCGUUGAGGACUUGUGAAAUGAGGCCAAGAGAGCGUUCAGUAAUAAUGCUGAUAACUCACCUACAUCAGUAUAUCAGCAAUUGGAAUUUAUCGAAACUCAGGAGAUUGUAAUAGAAAUCGAGCUUUACGAUAAGAAUGAUUUAAAUUCAACGUAGAUUAGUGAAAUUGUUGGUUUGCAGGAAUUAGCUCAGCAAUUGUCACGCGUCAAAGCACAUGUACAAACUAGACAGAAUAUACAUAGAUUUUUUGGAGUAUUUCACUGCCAAACCAGGAAUGUAUAAUAAAGAUUUACUAUAUGAAGGUUCGUUACUACAAUAAUUUCUCCUGGCGCAUGUGGUAUAAAGGAGCUCGUCAUAGAAAUCAAUGCACUUCUGCUUGGGAUGAAUAAACUUUUUGGUAAUAGUAAUAUACUCAACCUGUUUCUGACUGUGGGAAUAGAUUAUUUAUUUCGUGUGAUUUAUGUACAAGAGUAACCACGAGACCCGAAAAAUUAUAUUAAAGUUGUGAUUUCGAAAUUAUAGAGUAGUAUACAAAGAUAAUAUUUCUAUUGGAAGAAAAUUACAAAGUCUUCAUGGUCAAUAGAAUAUAAUAUAUUUAAUUAAUGUAAUCUUGUUUAGCUAUUUAUGCAGUACACCAAUGAGAUCAAAGCUUAUCUUAUAAUGCAUUUCAGUUAUUAUUUAUUGAAAAAGAAUUAUUUGUUUCAGACGAAACUUAAACAAAGCUUGAGAAUGCUUUUCAAAUUUUCAUUGUAAAUGCAAUAGAUUUAGAUAAAAGGGAUAGGUGUUCUAGUAGUUGUAGCAGCUAUAAGAAAACUAAUUUCGUUACCGAAUGCUUUGACGGUGGACUUUGUGAAGUACAGCGACCGUGUCGCGGCGACAUAGUUGAAUGCGGAUAUGUAAUUAAAAACGAUAUAGAUAUAUGUCUUACUGUAAGAAAACCCUAUAUUUUACGAAUUACAUAUAAAUAUAAGGGAGAUAAGUCAGAACUUUUAAUAUUGUAAAAUAGCCAUGUCAAUAGCAUUGACUAAAAUACAUGUAAAAGCAUUGAAAAAAAAUAUUUUUGUUGCUAAAAUUUUAUUUGUAGUAACAGUAUUUAUAAUUUUAUUUGUAGUAUAAUAGUAGCGAUAGAAGACACGAAUUUUUAAUUGAUGGCGAUAGAUUGCAAAAAGGCCCGAAGAAAGCUUAGUUCAACAAAAAUGAUUGAAGCUGUGGUGGCCACAUAGCACCCACUCGCACACACACUCGCACACACACACACGCUCACACACUCGCACUCACACACGCGCGCACGCAUAUACAAACCUCACGCGCACGCGCACGUGAAGACUCCAGCGUUCGUGCCUCGAACGAUGCGGCCCGGAUUAGAACUCGGUUUUUCCGGCCCGGGUGAGCGCAUUAGGACAAUUAAGUUCUCCGCAUCGAGGAAGCAGUAAAACGCUCGGGCCCGCGCUCGAACCCUUUUAUUGCAGUCAUCCGCACGUCGACGCGGGCGGCUAAAGCUCGCCGGCGCGGGUAAUCCCUGGCGUAAUAAAACAGUAAACGGCCGGCCGUUUGGGCCAGCUGCCCUCGCCACCGACGCGCUAUCCGGACCGCGCGUGCUCCGUCCCUGCCAAUCUGAUCGGCGAUCGGUACAGGAGGCGGAACGAUCGAGACCUUCGACGGUCGACGCUGGAGCCAACCAAAAGUCAGUUCAACUGGAGCCACGACACGAGUCGCAUCACAUCCAGCCCUUGUAACGCGAAAAUCUUCAACUAAUAAACACACGCAACUUACACUCCUUCACUCUCCAGCGCCACCAUCACUCCCAAAAAGCUAAACCAAGAAGGUAUCCGAUUGCAUCACUAACCAGGAGAUGAGAUUAUUGUACGUGUCUUUGUGUUGAAACGGAAAAUUCUGAUCGAUACUUUAGUUGAGAAGAAAACAUCGCUAGAUACAAAAACCAUUACGUCGUCGCAGGAUCUCGAUUCGUAAAAAAGAAUAAUAUCAUUCAUAUUCGAAUACAGGACGGAUUAUUGUUACCGAAUGGUAUGAAUGAUCCUAGUACAGUCACUUUGGUACCGGUAAAGAAAAAUGUUACUCAGAUUUAUACGCUAGAGUAGAACAAGCCGAAUACACUAGAUUUGCCUAAUAUAAAAAUGAUGGAUUAUAAAAUUGUUAUAGGAUUACAAUUUACUGUAAAUAUUGAACGUUUGGCAAUAUUAGUUACCUCGACUGAAUUCGACUACAGUAAGGGCAGUCUAUUAUUUUCCUUAGGUGAAAGUCCUAACAUGGGUCAUGCGGAGAAAAAGUGGACUACUAUUACGAGCCAGAAUUACCAACUCGAAUUACUGGAAAAAAACGAUAAAAAAUCGGAUAGAUACAGCUACGUUACUACUUAGAAUAUUACAACAGAUCCGCCCGCACCAUUAUUUUGGAAUUUAUUCAAGAUACACGCAGAACAGUGGUGUUUUUUGGCGGUCAAAUUAUUCACAUACGAUUUCCAUGACCAUAUAAAAACGAAUCUUGACGAAAACCUUAUGAACUAAGCUGUGAAACUUAGUGCUGCUUUGAAAUUCUCGUGUGCAUGCGCAUCGGUCGCAAUUUUAUUGUAAAACAAAAAGUGAUUAAAAUAAAUUUUUUUAAAAGCCCUGUA
rnacentral:lncRNA from 1 species